AGUAGAUUCAAAUCUAUCUUAGAAGUUUAGGACAUUAAUUUUUCUCCUUUUUGUUAAUAUUAAAUGAGUAAUAUUGCUUAGAAUAAAACUUUUUUCAUGACGAAGGGAUGGCAACAUCUAC
rfam:Loxodonta africana unplaced genomic scaffold scaffold_23, whole genome shotgun sequence.